AUUGAACGCUGGCGGCAUGCUUUACACAUGCAAGUCGAACGGCAGCGCGGGCUUCGGCCUGGCGGCGAGUGGCGAACGGGUGAGUAAUGCAUCGGAACGUGCCCAGUAGUGGGGGAUAGCCCGGCGAAAGCCGGAUUAAUACCGCAUACGACCUGAGGGUGAAAGCGGGGGACCGAAAGGCCUCGCGCUCUUGGAGCGGCCGAUGUCGGAUUAGCUAGUUGGUGGGGUAAAGGCUUACCAAGGCGACGAUCCGUAGCUGGUCUGAGAGGACGACCAGCCACACUGGGACUGAGACACGGCCCAGACUCCUACGGGAGGCAGCAGUGGGGAAUUUUGGACAAUGGGGGCAACCCUGAUCCAGCCAUGCCGCGUGCGGGAAGAAGGCCCUCGGGUUGUAAACCGCUUUUGUUCGGGAAGAAAUCCUCUGGGCUAAUACCCCGGGGGGAUGACGGUACCGGAAGAAUAAGCACCGGCUAACUACGUG
rnacentral:rRNA from 1 species